CCUACGGGAGGCAGCAGUGGGGAAUAUUGCACAAUGGGGGAAACUCUGAUGCAGCGACGCCGCGUGAGUGAAGAAGUAUUUCGGUACGUAAAGCUCUAUUAGCAGGGAAGAAAAUGACGGUACCUGACUAAGAAACCCCGGCUAAUUACGUGCCAGCAGCCCCGGGAAUACGGCGGGGGCCAGGGUUAUCCGGUUUUACUGGGGGUAAAGGGAGCGUAGACGGUAGCGCAAGUCUGAUGUGAAAUCCCAUGGUUUAACCUUGGAAUUGCUUUGGAAACUGUGCGGCUAGAGUGCAGGAGAGGAAAGCGGAAUUCCUAGUGUAGCGGUGAAAUGCGUAGAUAUUAGGAGGAACACCAGUGGCGAAGGCGGCUUACUGGACUGUAACUGACGUUGAGGCUCGAAAGCGUGGGGAGCAAACAGGAUUAGAUACCCCAGUAGUC
rnacentral:rRNA from 1 species